rnacentral:rRNA from 1 species
UACGUAGGGUGCGAGCGUUGUUCGGAAUUACUGGGCGUAAAGGGCUCGUAGGCGGCCAACUAAGUCACACGUGAAAUCCCCAGGCUUAACCUGGGAACUGCGUGUGAUACUGGAUGGCUUGAAUUCGGGAGAGGGAUGCAGAAUUCCAGGUGUAGCGGUGAAAUGCGUAGAUAUCUGGAGGAAUACCGGUGGCGAAGGCGGCAUCCUGGACCGACAUUGACGCUGAGGAGCGAAAGCUAGGGGAGCAAACGGG